UUUGGAUCGAUAGUAAUACGAAAC
rnacentral:snRNA from 1 species